rnacentral:rRNA from 1 species
GGCUCCUUGUGAGUAAUAGAUGGGGAGUCCGACCUGCCCGGUGAAAAAAUUUUUAACGGCCGCGGUACUCUGACCGUGCGAAGGUAGCAUAAUCAUUUGCCUUAUAAUUGAAGGCUUGUAUGAAUGGUUUAACAAGAAUAAAGCUGUCUCUUUACAAUUAAAUAUAAUUUUAUUUAUAGGUGAAGAAGCCUAUAUAAAAUUGAAAGACAAGAAGACCCUAUCGAGCUUGAAAAAAGUUAAUAAAUACAAACUCAUAUUUAUAUAGAGUACGUUUUUAAAAAUUUUAGUUGGGGCGACUGAGGAACAAAAAAAGCUUCCUCGUAAGGUAAUAACGUGCUGGUAUUGAUCCAAAUGUUUUGAUUAAAGGAAUUAGUUACCGUAGGGAUAACAGCAUUAUCUUUUUUAAGAGCUCAAAUCGAAAAAAAGGUUUGUGACCUCGAUGUUGGACCAGAAUAUCCCGAAGAUGCAGCCGUCUUCAAAGGUUGGUCUGUUCGACCAUUAAAAUUCUACGUGAUCUGAGUUCAGACCGGCGUGAGCCAGGUCAGUUUCUAUCUUCAUUUUUUUAUAUGAGCUUAGUACGAAAGGAUCAGCUUGCAGUAAAAUUUAUAUCCGUUUGAUGAAGUAUAAAGAGAGAUUCAAUAAAAAUUUAAGUGGGUUGGGUCAAAUUAGCAAAGAUAAUGCAACUGACUUAGGAUCAGUAGACAUAGGUGAAACUCCUUUAUUUGAUAUAAGAUAAAGAUGGCAGAUAAA